CCCCGAAAAUGGCAACUGCUUUGAAAAGGGUAGGCGCAAAUCAAUAGUCCUAAACCACCUCUACAUUUGGCACGGACAGUUAUUGAUGCCGAA
rnacentral:ncRNA from 1 species